AUGGUUAAAAGAGAUUUACUGGGCAGAGUAUUUACUCUUUGUUCGGUACAUGUCCCUAAUAUUAAGCAAGGCACCUUCCUUGAUGGUUUUAUUUUUGCCUUGCCAAUAUCUUCUGAAAAUCUCAGUACUCAGAGAGCUUUUAACUUUGCCUUAAAUUUUACAGUGCAUAGUUCAUGUCAUGGAAGUAAGGAAACUUAUUCACAAGGUCCAUUCCUGAAACAAAAUACUAUCCAGACAGAUGUCUUGGCUGGACAAGUGAUGCCCUCUUUGAAGAUUCAUUUGUUUUAUUCACAUAACCAUUUGCUGAUCACACGACUAUAUUAUAUAUUACUGUCUGCAUCCUUACAGGAUUCUCUUACUCAGGCAAAGAGAGGUGAAAUGACAUGGUCUGUCUCUCUUUCUGUCUUGAUGACACAAAGAAACUGGUGGGGUAGUCAGAGGCAUAGAAAAUAUCAACUGAACCUUUUUCUUUUCAAUUCAUUUCUAGUGCUGGAGGUUGAAACUAACAAAAAACAAGUCUGUUUCCAUAACGGCAUAUUACUUGCCAGCUCACUGUAUGGGAUUUAUAAUAUUGUAUUGAAGAAAAAGUUAAUUGAGAAAACUUCAGGAAUUAAAAGGAGGAAAAAUGCAGCAUGCAGAUUUCUUAUUUCUGAAAGAAAAAAAAUGGAGUUAUAUACAAAUACAAGUGCAAAGACAAAUUUGAAUAAGCUUGUGCUUUUAGGGUGCCUACUACAUGCUCUUGUGCUAGGAAAAAUAGUGAGUAUUUUAAAUCAGGGUGGACAAAAGCACAGUAAGACAGAGAAGAAAGGAUAUACUGUUACAGCAUAUAAGCUAAGAAGUGAAAACCAUACAGUAAUACAUACUAGAAAACAAAACAGAGAAAUUCGUUACCUUCUGAGGACUCAUGCUGGAGAAGCUGGGGUCCAAGUUAAAGCUGAACAUUUGCAGAGAGACUCGGAGGACAUCCAAUCAGUCACACUUGCAGGGGGAGGACCUGGUCCAAAGAAGUUCUUGAUUAAGUUCUGCAAAACUUUGACAGACCACUUUCGCCCCAAAUUAACUGAUCUUAUAUGUUAUUUUCUAAACUUCAGACCUUUAACAGAUACUCUGAAGGAAGCUGAUAACGUUGUUUUAAAGGCUAGGAAAUAUAAAAGUGAUUUUUUCAUCACAUAG
rnacentral:lncRNA from 1 species